AUAUUGGACUAUGGGGGCAACGCUGAUCUAGCCAUUCGGCGCGUGUUAAAAUGGUCUUCGCACUGUAACGCACUUUAAGUUGUGCGGAAGGUCCUUCGGUUACUACCCUGAUGUAUUGACGUUACCAACAGAAUCAGCACCCGCUAACUAUGUGCCAGCAGCCGCAGUAAUACAGCGGUUGAAAGCGUUAAACGGAAUUACUGGGCGUAAUGGGCGAGUAGGGAGUUCAGUAGAAAGGGUGUGAAAUCCCCGGGCUUAACCUGGGAACUGCUUUAAUAACUGGAGAGCUAGAGUACGGUAGAGGGUAGUGGAAUUUCCUGUGUAGAGGUGAAAUGCGUAGAUAUAGGAAGGAACACCAGUGGCGAAGGCGACUACCUGGACAGAUACUGACACUGAGGUGCGAAAGCGUGGGGAGCAAAC
rnacentral:rRNA from 1 species